UGCACCUGGUGGCGUGCGGCGAACGGGUGAGUAAUACAUCGGAACGUACCUUAUCGUGGGGGAUAACGCAGCGAAAGCUGUGCUAAUACCGCAUACGCCCUGAGGGGGAAAGCGGGGGAUCGAAAGACCUCGCGCGAUUAGAGCGGCCGAUGCCUGAUUAGCUUGCUGGUGGGGUAAAAGCCCACCAAGGCGACGAUCAGUAGCUGGUCUGAGAGGACGAUCAGCCACACUGGGACUGAGACACGGCCCAGACUCCUACGGGAGGCAGCAGUGGGGAAUUUUGGACAAUGGGGGAAACUCUGAUCCAGCAAUGCCGCGUGAGUGAAGAAGGCCUUCGGGUUGUAAAGCUCUUUUGUCAGGGAAGAAACACCGGCUCUAACACAGUCCGGGAAUGACGGUACCUGAGGAAUAAGCACCGGCUAACUACGUGCCAGCAGCCGCGUAAUACGUAGGGUGCGAGCGUUAAUCGGAAUUACUGGGCGUAAAGCGUGCGCAGGCGGUUAUACAAGACAGGCGUGAAAUCCCCGGGCUUAACCUGGGAAUGGCGCCUGUGACUGUAUAGCUAGAGUGUGUCAGAGGGGGGUAGAAUUCCACGUGUAGCAGUGAAAUGCGUAGAUACGUGGAGGAAUACCAAUGGCGAAGGCAGCCCCCUGGGAUAACACUGACGCUCAUGCACGAAAGCGUGGGGAGCAAACAGGAU
rnacentral:rRNA from 1 species